rnacentral:rRNA from 1 species
UACGUAGGUGGCAAGCGUUGUCCGGAUUUACUGGGCGUAAAGAGUGCGCAGGCGGUCGCUCAAGUCGCGUGUGAAAGCCCCCGGCUCAACUGGGGAGGGUCACGCGAUACUGAUCGACUGGAAGGCAGGAGAGGGUAGUGGAAUUCCCGGUGUAGUGGUGAAAUGCGUAGAUAUCGGGAGGAACACCAGUGGCAAAGGCGACUACCUGGCCUGUUCUUGACGCUGAGGCGCGAAAGCUAGGGGAGCAAACGGG